rnacentral:rRNA from 1 species
GACGAACGCUGGCGGCGUGCCUAAUACAUGCAAGUUGAGCGCUGAAGGUUGGUACUUGUACCAACUGGAUGAGCAGCGCACGGGUGUGUAACGCGUGGGGAAUCUGCCUUUGAGCGGGGGACAACAUUUGGAAACGAAUGCUAAUACCGCAUAAAAACUUUAAACACAAGUUUUAAGUUUGAAAGAUGCAAUUGCAUCACUCAAAGAUGAUCCCGCGUUGUAUUAGCUAGUUGGUGAGGUAAAGGCUCACCAAGGCGAUGAUACAUAGCCGACCUGAGAGGGUGAUCGGCCACAGUGGGACUGAGACACGGCACAAACUCCUACGGGAGGCAGCAGUAGGGAAUCUUCGGCAAUGGACGAAAGUCUGACCGAGCAACGCCGCGUGAGUGAAGAAGGUUUUCGGAUCGUAAAACUCUGUUGGUAGAGAAGAACGUUGGUGAGAGUGGAAAGCUCAUCAAGUGACGGUAACUACCCAGAAAGGGACGGCUAACUACGUG